AUACGUAGGGUGCGAGCGUUAAUCGGAAUUACUGGGCGUAAAGCGGGCGCAGACGGUUACUUAAGCAGGAUGUGAAAUCCCCGGGCUCAACCUGGGAACUGCGUUYUGAACUGGGUGACUAGAGUGUGUCAGAGGGAGGUAGAAUUCCACGUGUAGCAGUGAAAUGCAUAGAGAUGUGGAGGAAUACCGAUGGCGAAGGCAGCCUCCUGGGAUAACACUGACGUUCAUGCCCGAAAGCGUGGGUAGCAAACAGGAUUAGAUACCCUGGUAGUCCACGCCCUAAACGAUGUCAAUUAGCUGUUGGGCAACUUGAUUGCUUAGUAGCGUAGCUAACGCGUGAAAUUGACCGCCUGGGGAGUACGACCGCAAGGUUGAAACUCAAAGGAAUUGACGGGGGCCCGCACAAGCGGUGGAGCAUGUGGUUUAAUUCGAAGCAACGCGAAGAACCUUACCAGGUCUUGACAUCCCUCUGA
rnacentral:rRNA from 1 species